AAAUGUGUAUACACACAUUGGAUCUAUCUCUGUGUAUUACACUUUCGGUGUAUGACCAGAUGAUAAAAAGUCUACAACUGUCAUGCCGAUAACAAACGUCGGGACAGGCGGCUGAGCGUAUAAUAACGUUGAGUAGGUUUUAUAUUAUAUACUGGCAGUGGCAGACUUUAUCGAGAACGAAAUUUUCGUUUGGGAAUUCUCUAGUCCCCGCAGUCAGUUCAGUCAGUAACCUGUAUUCGAACUGUGCACAUCUAUGGGAGAUUUUUCAUUUAUUUUUAUUUUUUGAUCUUUUUAGUUUUCUUAGACUUUUUCUUAUUUUUGUGAAUUUUUGUUUAAAUUUAAAAUGGAAAUUAAAGAAUUAAAUUGAAAUAAAAUUGAAUUUAGUUUUGAAUUUACUAAAAAAAAAUAAGUUAAAAAAGUGAUUUGGUGAUUACUAUAUGCAGAGCACUACUUUCAUCAGUUACAAAUUUUUGCGACUCACUUUUUUGUAUAGUUUAUGUAUCAGUUUUCCUGGUGGGAAAAACAUCCACCACUCACAACACCGUCAUUUUUUUUUUCGAUGAUUCGACUUUAAAGUCGAACGAUUUUUAUACGAACAAGCAACACUUCACUUCAAACAAUUUAUAUGGAUAAAAUAUACGUUAAAUUGCUGGGUAACAUUAAUUAGUGAGUUUCACAUGUUAUGCUGGCUGGCAACACCGAAUCUUCACAUCUGACACUGUUGUUUUGUAAUUAUUUAUCAUAGCAAAAACUUGUGUGUUUUGUUUGGUUUGGUCUUUCUUUAAUUCUAUUAUUGUGUAGUGUAUAUAAAGUAGGGAAAGACAAGUACCGCUGAGUGUAUAUAAUGUAAUAAAAGCAACAAAACGGACUGAAAAUAUAUACUCAAAGUUCAAAUGAUAAUGUCGACAUGCGCGACUAAAUCCGAUAUGAUGAUGACUACCCAGUAAAAAAAGAAGUUAUAGAGGAAAUAUGCGGUGAUGAUGGUGUAUAUGAAUGGGGAAGGUUCAGGAGAAGGAAGGAGAUGACAGAAUUGGCGUGUUAGAAACCCAUUUUUAUACGAAGAAAAAAAAAUUGCUCAUAGAUGCUGGAAUAUCCUUCCUUGUCGUUUAUAUGUUUUAUACGAAUAACAUUGUAACAUCUAUCCGCACUAUCCUUUUAUUGUACAUUGCGUUAAAUGUGAGAAAAAAAAAAGAAGAAGAAAAAUGAGUAAAUGUACGAGCAACGACUGUGCCUUUAUUGCUUAUCUUAUCUUGACGAAAGUUUCAAACAUACUCUUCAAGAUGAUAAAAAUUUACUUAAUUAAAAAAAAAUUAUGUUUCGUUAAAUGGCUCGAUUUCAAUUUUUCAUUUUUUUGGGUGAAACUUGAACAAAACUUGAAAAAAUCCACAAUCGCUAGCUAUCGCACCGAUCACUAACUGACACCAACGAAUUUUAUGGCUGAACUUUUAUGACGGUCAAUAAACACAAAUAAGAAUUUCAUUAAGACUACACACAUGCCAUAUAUUAUUAGCACACAACAUCAACAGAAAAGUCUCAUUACAAAAAAAAAAUAAUUGAAUUACCUCAACGAAAUGGCGACACUAUACAGAAAAUUAUUAUUCAACCAAACAAAAUGUAGUUGCUGUACUCAAUUAAAUUGUAGUAUUACUGAAGUUGAAGAGAAAAAAAAUUUAACAUUAACGUCACACUACUAAGUGUGCAAACUGUGGUUUAACAACAAAAAAAAGCGAUUUUUUUUUUAAAUAAUCACGCGCAUUGUGUGUAUGUGAUACCAAAUAAAUUUGCUGUAGGUUUUUAUUUGUAUAUUUGAUCAGUUAGUCCAUCAGCGCAAGUUUCUAUGACGGAACAGAGUUCGACAUUUUCUUGUCAGCAACGGUUUUCGUUGAAUAUUUGCUGUGUUUUGUGUGAAUUUUGCUUAUGUUCGAUAUGAAAAAACGUCGUACUAAAUCAACAAAUGGGUGGUAGAUUUAAAUCGAUUGACUCGCUAUAAAUCGGCUACAAUUUUUUUUUUGUCUGUUUACGAUUAUAGCACGAAAAUUCACGCA